rnacentral:rRNA from 1 species
GAUGAACGCUGGCGGCGUGCUUAGCACAUGCAAGUCGAACGGGAAUUACUUUAUUGAAACUUCGGUCGAUUUAAUUUAAUUCUAGUGGCGGACGGGUGAGUAACGCGUGGGUAACCUGCCUUAUACAGGGGGAUAACAGUCAGAAAUGGCUGCUAAUACCGCAUAAGCGCACAGAGCUGCAUGGCUCGGUGUGAAAAACUCCGGUGGUAUAAGAUGGACCCGCGUUGGAUUAGCUUGUUGGUGGGGUAACGGCCCACCAAGGCGACGAUCCAUAGCCGGCCUGAGAGGGUGAACGGCCACAUUGGGACUGAGACACGGCCCAGACUCCUACGGGAGGCAGCAGUGGGGAAUAUUGCACAAUGGGGGAAACCCUGAUGCAGCGACGCCGCGUGAAGGAAGAAGUAUCUCGGUAUGUAAACUUCUAUCAGCAGGGAAGAUAGUGACGGUACCUGACUAAGAAGCCCCGGCUAACUACGUG